rnacentral:rRNA from 1 species
UAGGGAAUCUUCGGCAAUGGACGGAAGUCUGACCGAGCAACGCCGCGUGAGUGAAGAAGGUUUUCGGAUCGUAAAGCUCUGUUGUUAGAGAAGAACGUUGGUAGGAGUGGAAAAUCUACCAAGUGACGGUAACUAACCAGAAAGGGACGGCUAACUACGUGCCAGCAGCCGCGGUAAUACGUAGGUCCCGAGCGUUGUCCGGAUUUAUUGGGCGUAAAGCGAGCGCAGGCGGUUCUUUAAGUCUGAAGUUAAAGGCAGUGGCUUAACCAUUGUACGCUUUGGAAACUGGAGGACUUGAGUGCAGAAGGGGAGAGUGGAAUUCCAUGUGUAGCGGUGAAAUGCGUAGAUAUAUGGAGGAACACCGGUGGCGAAAGCGGCUCUCUGGUCUGUAACUGACGCUGAGGCUCGAAAGCGUGGGGAGCAAACAGGAUUAGAUACCCUGGUAGUCCACGCCGUAAACGAUGAGUGCUAGGUGUUAGGCCCCUUCCGGGGCUUAGUGCCGCAGCUAACGCAUUAAGCACUCCGCCUGGGGAGUACGACCGCAAGGUUG